ACGAAAGAUUGACGAUUGGUAAGAAUCCACAACAAGUUGUUCUUCAUAGAUGUAUCUGAGGGUCUGUAGCUCAGUUGGUUAGAGCACACGCUUGAUAAGCGUGGGGUCACAAGUUCAAGUCUUGUCAGACCCACCAUGACUUUGACUGGUUGAAGUUAUAGAUAAAAGAUACAUGACUGAUGAUGUAAGCUGGGGACUUAGCUUAGUUGGUAGAGCGCCUGCUUUGCACGCAGGAGGUCAGGAGUUCGACUCUCCUAGUCUCCACCAGAACUUAAGAGAAGUUCGGAUUACAGAAAUUAGUAAAUAGAGAUUUAGAUCUUGGUUUAUUAACUUCUGUGAUUUAAGUAUCACGGUAUUAAGCAUGACCUGACGAAGGCAUGUUUAUUCAUUAACAGAUUGGCAAAAUUGAGUCUGAAAUAAAUUGUUCACUCAAGAGUUUAGAUUAAGCAAUUAAUCUAGAUGAAUUGAGAACUAGCAAAUUAACUGAAUCAAGCGUUUUGGUAUAUGAAUUUAGAUUGAAGCUGUACAGUGUUUAAAUACACAGUACUUCGAACUGUAUGGAUGAAUGAGAGAUCAUUUGUUCUGUUGCUACACCAACUUGUAGGUG
rnacentral:tRNA from 1 species